rnacentral:rRNA from 1 species
GACGAACGCUGGCGGCGUGCCUAAUACAUGCCAGUUGAGCGCUGAAGGUUGGUACUUGUACCAACUGGAUGAGCAGCGAACGGGUGAGUAACGCGUGGGGAAUCUGCCUUUGAGCGGGGGACAACAUUUGGAAACGAAUGCUAAUACCGCAUAAAAACUUUAAACACAAGUUUUAAGUUUGAAAGAUGCAAUUGCAUCACUCAAAGAUGAUCCCGCGUUGUAUUAGCUAGUUGGUGAGGUAAAGGCUCACCAAGGCGAUGAUACAUAGCCGACCUGAGAGGGUGAUCGGCCAAAUUGGGACCGAGACACGGCCCAAAACCCUACGGGAGGCAGCAGUAGGGAAUCUUCGGCAAUGGACGAAAGUCUGACCGAGCAACGCCGCGUGAGUGAAGAAGGUUUUCGGAUCGUAAAACUCUGUUGGUAGAGAAGAACGUUGGUGAGAGUGGAAAGCUCAUCAAGUGACGGUAACUACCCAGAAAGGGACGGCUAACUACGUG